rnacentral:rRNA from 1 species
CUAUACAUGCAAGUCGAGCGGACAGAUGGGAGCUUGCUCCCUGAUGUCAGCGGCGGACGGGUGAGUAACACGUGGGUAACCUGCCUGUAAGACUGGGAUAACUCCGGGAAACCGGGGCUAAUACCGGAUGCUUGAUUGAACCGCAGGUUCAAUUAUAAAAGGUGGCUUUUAGCUACCACUUACAGAUGGACCCGCGGCGCAUUAGCUAGUUGGUGAGGUAACGGCUCACCAAGGCAACGAUGCGUAGCCGACCUGAGAGGGUGAUCGGCCACACUGGGACUGAGACACGGCCCAGACUCCUACGGGAGGCAGCAGUAGGGAAUCUUCCGCAAUGGACGAAAGUCUGACGGAGCAACGCCGCGUGAGUGAUGAAGGUUUUCGGAUCGUAAAACUCUGUUGUUAGGGAAGAACAAGUACCGUUCGAAUAGGGCGGUACCUUGACGGUACCUAACCAGAAAGCCACGGCUAACUACGUGCCAGCAGCCGCGGUAAUACGUAGGUGGCAAGCGUUGUCCGGAAUUAUUGGGCGUAAAGCGCGCGCAGGCGGUUUCUUAAGUCUGAUGUGAAAGCCCCCGGCUCAACCGGGGAGGGUCAUUGGAAACUGGGGAACUUGAGUGCAGAAGAGGAGAGUGGAAUUCCACGUGUAGCGGUGAAAUGCGUAGAGAUGUGGAGGAACACCAGUGGCGAAGGCGACUCUCUGGUCUGUAACUGACGCUGAGGCGCGAAAGCGUGGGGAGCGAACAGGAUUAGAUACCCUGGUAGUCCACGCCGUAAACGAUGAGUGCUAAGUGUUAGAGGGUUUCCGCCCUUUAGUGCUGCAGCAAACGCAUUAAGCACUCCGCCUGGGGAGUACGGUCGCAAGACUGAAACUCAAAGGAAUUGACGGGGGCCCGCACAAGC